CCUACGGGUGGCAGCAGUGGGGAAUAUUGCACAAUGGGGGAAACCCUGAUGCAGCGACGCCGCGUGAGUGAAGAAGUAAUUCGUUAUGUAAAGCUCUAUCAGCAGGGACGAAAAUGACGGUACUUGAGUAAGAAGCCGCGGCUAAUUACGUGCCAGCAGCCGCGGGAAUACGUAGGGGGCAAGCGUUAUCCGGAUUUACUGGGUGUAAAGGGAGCGUAGACGGCAGUGCAAGUCUGGAGUGAAAGGCGGGGGCUCAACCCCCGGACUGCUCUGGAAACUGUACGGCUGGAGUGCAGGAGAGGUAAGUGGAAUUCCUAGUGUAGCGGUGAAAUGCGUAGAUAUUAGGAGGAACACCAGUGGCGAAGGCGGCUUACUGGACUGUAACUGACGUUGAGGCUCGAAAGCGUGGGGAGCGAACAGGAUUAGAUACCCGGGUAGUC
rnacentral:rRNA from 1 species